UAUUAAUAUCAGAGUGGCUGUUUUAUGUAGCAGAAGCAGCGGGAACCAUGCAAAGAGGAAAAAUACGGCACGUAAUAUAAUAUUUAUUACUUCAUCUUAUGCAACCCACGCUCAAAAAUAAAUUAAAUUACAUAGGGUUUCCGACAAAAAGUAAACUUGAGAUCUUGAAUUAGCUGGAACCGUUUAUUACGAACCAUGCAUAUCGUUUUGUUUUGUUUUGUUUUGUUUUUUUUUUUUUUGCUUAAAAAAUAUCUGGCAGUUAAAAAAUAUGGGCAAGAAAUUAAAAUUUUCAGAAAUGUUAUGAGUCUAGGAUGUGAAAUGGCUCAACAGUGGUGCCCCUACCAAGUUCAAAUUCAUCAAGGAACAGGAAUCGCGGAAGAACAAUAUUAACUUUAUCGACUUCACAACAUUUUGAAAAAGUUAGGAGAUAUACUGGCCAUCAAAAAUUAGUAUCGCCAGAAUGCACUUGAAUGGCAUCCUAGGAAAUCUAGCACUUGAAUGGAUUUACGCAUAGCACAGCUGCCUAGCACUAGAUUGGUAGCACUCGAAAGGCAUCCUGGAAAACCUAGCACUUGAAUGGAUUUACGCAUAGCACUGUUGACUAGCACUAGAUUGGUAGCACUUGAAUGGCAUCCUGGGAAACCUAGCCCUUGAAUGGAUUUACGCAUAGCACAGUUGCCUAGCACUAUAUUGGUAGUGAUUGAAUAGCAUCCUGGGAAACCUAGCCCUUGAAUGGAUUUACGCAUAGCACAGCUGUCUAGCACUAGAUUGGUAGCAUUUGAAUGGCAUCCUGGGAAACCUAGCACUUGAAUGGAUUUACGACUAGCACAGCUGCCUAGCACUAGAUUGGUAGCACUUGAAUGGCAUCCUGGGAAACCUAGCAUUUGAAUGGAUUUACGACUAGCACUACGAUGGUAGCAGAGUGGACACGAAGUCCAUCAUCGAGAAAAUCCACGCCAUUUUCUUGGCAUAUCGAAAUCUCAAAGGAUCGUGCAAACAGAACUAUCCUUUUGUGAUCUGUUCGAGGCUGUAUUACGUCUUCGGUUAGCUGGAGGAAAGAAAGGAAAAUGGACACUGAAAAUGCAUCUAAAUUUUGAUUGGCUUGAACGGAAACCAUUUAAGUGUCAGCUAGCACAAUAUAGGUUUCUCUCUCAUAGGAAACGCUUAGGUAGAAAAAGUACCUUCUAUGUAAACAUCUCUGACAAACUGGCCACCGGUUAAAGGAAUACUAAAAGAACAAAUAUACAAUGAUAUUAAUAUAAAAUAUAUUCCAUCGGCACAAAUAAAACUUGUCACUAUUA